rnacentral:misc_RNA from 1 species
AAGUCGUAACAAGGUAACCGUAGGUGAACCUGCGGUUGGAUCAUUAAGUGGUUAGUUUAACGAACCAGCAAGCAAAUGUUGUUUGACUAGACUUUUAAUUAAUGGAUAUUAUGAAAAGACAACUUUUGACAAUGGAUCUCUUGGUUCUC